UGGGGAGUAUUGGACAAUGGGGGCAACCCUGAUCCAGCAAUGCCGCGUGAGUGAUGAAGGCCUUAGGGUUGUAAAGCUCUUUCGGCGGGGACGAUGAUGACGGUACCCGCAGAAGAAGCCCCGGCUAACUUCGUGCCAGCAGCCGCGGUAAUACGAAGGGGGCAAGCGUUGUUCGGAUUUACUGGGCGUAAAGGGCGCGCAGGCGGCUCUUCAAGUCAGAUGUGAAAGCCCCGGGCUCAACCUGGGAACUGCAUUUGAGACUGAAGAACUCGAGUUCGGGAGAGGAUGGCGGAAUUCCCAGUGUAGAGGUGAAAUUCGUAGAUAUUGGGAAGAACACCGGUGGCGAAGGCGGCCAUCUGGACCGAGACUGACGCUGAGGCGCGAAAGCGUGGGGAGCAAACA
rnacentral:rRNA from 1 species